rnacentral:lncRNA from 1 species
UCACACCCAAAUAAGAAAAACAAGAGCAAAUUAAGUAAAAACUAUAUUGGAGAGGAUCUAUUACCAUUUGAUGUCCAAUAUGCUCAAUAUUACUAGCAAUCAACCACCAGGGGCUAUUCUUUCUAGUUUUUUUUCAGCUAUUUGAUAUCCCUAAAACCCAGUGAACCCCGUCUUCCCGUCAUUUCCCUUCUCUGGCUGGUUCACUCUUUGCCUUUGCUUGGACCUCCAUUUGGUGCCUUAACCUUCCCACAAGAUGCAUAUUUUGAGAUCAUUGUUUUUGUUGCCCUAUCUUCUCUCGCUCGUUAUCUGGUUUUCGCUCGCUCCCUCUUGUAGCUACUUGGGUUUCCAUUCCACUGCUUCUGAAUACCUCAAUGGUAUUGUAGCACGCUGCCCUUCCCCCGACCUAAAAAAAAACUAUAAAGAUUUGAUGCAGGAAGAAAAUAACAUGGGAAUAAUAAUAAUAGAAAAAAUAAAAUGUUAAGGGAAUAUACCCUCUCUCGAAGAAUCCACCCUAAAAAUAAUAUCUCCAUGAAGCCAAAU